rnacentral:rRNA from 1 species
UACGGAGGGUGCGAGCGUUAAUCGGAAUAACUGGGCGUAAAGGGCACGCAGGCGGGCUUGUAAGUGAGAUGUGAAAUCCCCGGGCUUAACCUGGGAAUAGCAUUUGAAACUGGGAGGCUAGAGUACUGUAGGGGGGGGUGGAAUUCCACGUGUAGCGGUGAAAUGCGUAGAGAUGUGGAGGAAUACCGGUGGCGAAGGCGGCCCCCUGGGCAUGUACUGACGCUCAUGUGCGAAAGCGUGGGGAGCAAACAGG